rnacentral:misc_RNA from 1 species
GUAUUGAUUGUGCAUUAUCACAAAUAGUAAGACAUUCUACACAUGCAGUGGUUUUGUAUAAAAACGCAAAUGCCCCCUUUUGGAACAAACCAAAAGGAGAGCACCCACGCGGUGAUUCACAAAGGGGUGAGAUGGAUUAUGUGUGAGAGCACCAAGGUGUGCACGACCUUUUCAAAAGUCAGCGACAACCCCAGCACCUCCAUUGUAUGAUAAUGAUCCUUCCGCAGGUUCACCUACGGAAA